AAACCUACUGUUAAUUAAAGAAUAAAAAGCGGCAAAGUGCGAGUCGGACUCGCUCAUGAAGGGUUCCGUAGCAGCAAGUAACAUAAUAAAAUUGCGGUUUACGAUUUAUGACGUAUUAAAAAAAACUACUUACUAGAUCUUGUUCAAACCAAUUUUCGGGGGGACACACAUUUUACCACUUUGAAAGUGUCUCUCGCGCAAACUAUUCAGUUUAGAAAAAAAUAAUAUUAGAAACCGCAAUAUCAUUUUUGAAGACCUAUCCAUAGAUACCCCACACCUAUGGGUUUGAUGUAAAAAAUAUUUUUGAGUUUCAGUUCUAAGUAUGGGGAACCCCCAAAAUUUAUUGUUUUUUUUUCUAUUUUUGUGUGAAAAUCUUAACGCGGUUCACAGAAUACAUCUACUUACCAAGUUUCAACAGUAUAGUUCUUAUAGUUUCGGAAAAAGUGGAUGUGACAUACGGACGGACAGACAGACAUGACGAAUCCAUAAGGGUUCCGUUUUUUGCCAUUUGGCUACGGA